rnacentral:rRNA from 1 species
CGCAAGGGCAUCGGAACACUCACAGCUCUCGUUUCAUGGUCUAUUUGGAGACACUGGAACGCUUGCGUUUUUUAUGGCGUCACACCUUCUCAUACCCACCUGGUUAACUGCAUACAGGAGGAAGCUCGUACUUGGGCGAAAGCGGGUACUCGAGGGCUUAGUAACAUCUUACCUGUAACAUAA